CCCUGCAUGGUGUAGUGGUUUGAGUACUGGACUUCAACUCAGGAGAUCAGGGUUUGAUUCCCAGCUCAGAUA